rnacentral:rRNA from 1 species
UUGAACGCUGGCGGCAGGCCUAACACAUGCAAGUCGAGCGGAUGAGGGGAGCUUGCUCCCUGAUUUAGCGGCGGACGGGUGAGUAAUGCCUAGGAAUCUGCCUGGUAGUGGGGGAUAACGUUCCGAAAGGAACGCUAAUACCGCAUACGUCCUACGGGAGAAAGCAGGGGACCUUCGGGCCUUGCGCUAUCAGAUGAGCCUAGGUCGGAUUAGCUAGUUGGUGAGGUAAUGGCUCACCAAGGCGACGAUCCGUAACUGGUCUGAGAGGAUGAUCAGUCACACUGGAACUGAGACACGGUCCAGACUCCUACGGGAGGCAGCAGUGGGGAAUAUUGGACAAUGGGCGAAAGCCUGAUCCAGCCAUGCCGCGUGUGUGAAGAAGGUCUUCGGAUUGUAAAGCACUUUAAGUUGGGAGGAAGGGCUGCUGGUUAAUACCCUGCAGUUUUGACGUUACCAACAGAAUAAGCACCGGCUAACUUCGUG